GCAAUGCGGGGUAAUUAUUUAAUUUAUUUCAUAAUAUUAUUUAACAUAUAUCGUGAAAAGUUCUGAAUAUUCGGAUUCUUCUGUUAUCGUUUCAUCGUAUGUUAGCAUUAUCAGCUCUCGAUAUCGAAUUGACAAACAGAAUUUUUCUCAUGCAAAGUAAGUCACAUUAAGUAUAUGUAUAUGUAUAGUCGAAGCAAUGCAAUUAAAAAUUUUUCCAUUUUAAUUGGAAUUAUUUAUCACAGACAUUUUACCGAGCAUUCAUUUUAUAAAUCUUAUACAUAUAUAUAUGUCGGAGAUGAAAGAACACCGGAGUCUGUAAUUGAACAAUUGUAGUUAUUCAAUCCGAUUGUAAUUGUUCGAGAGUUGUGAUAAUGAGCUUGGGCUCGAGGAGGCAGUCAGUCGCCGAACGUAGCCGCGGUCACGGGAUGAACGCUUUGUCUAACAAAGGUAUGGAGUAAUUCUAUAGCUCUCCUUAAAAGAAAUAUUCGUGGCGACACGCGACAGUAAACAUUCCAACGGUUUCUGUCCCGUGGCUCGCCACACGCAGACCCUAUUCUUCGAGUAAGAUGAUUGCCAGAUGUCGAUGCGUCUCCGCAGUACAUGUUCGGCUAGCUCGAGGGCCCGUUAUAAAUCUUAAGAUUUAGUCAACUAAAGUCCUUCAAACAGACAAACAGUCUUUGUCCCAACUACGGGAAAAUAGGGGAGACUUAUUUUUCAACGAGCGGCGUCUCCCACUAAUUUUGUGAGUACGUUCAUCUAUCAUCCCGUCGACCGCGGAUUCGUUAUUGAACCUAGGAUCAUUGUCAUUAGUUUCUCGAGUGCCUAACUACCACGGUUACUUGUCCGGCUCUAUAAUAGUCGUAUUUGCACUAGUCAAUGUCUUCUCUAUUGCAUAACGACAACGUGUAACCCAAACGAAGAUUCGUUUCACGCCCCUAACCCUAAUUCUAAUGUCCGCUCCGACAUAUAUAUAUAUAUAUAUAUAUA